GUUGUAAACGCUGCCCUCAAACGGCAACUUGUUUAUCUUGUUCCCCACAUGUGCUCAAUGAGUUCUGGAGUCAUCAAUAUAUCACUGCUCCCAAACUAAAUGUGAUUUCCAGCUCUAGACACAUCCUGCUGACUCUCGUACUCCGAUGACCAGCUGGGAGUCGAAGGCCUCCCCCAGCCUCUCAGCGUGGACUAACUUCAUGGCGCUGUCCUGCAGGCGACUCUUGAUGUUGGAAAAAAUCGAUUCGUUCCACGUGUCCAGCAUCAGCUGCAAAACAAACAACAGGGGUAGAAAAAAUGUAUCAAGUAUGUGCAUGAAGAGCAGCAAAGCUGUUCAGUAGAACGUCACACUCAAUUUCCUACCAUCCAUUCACUUAAUACAUGAAGAGCUGUAGAGAUUUCCCUCCUCCUCCUCCUCCUCCUCUCACCUUGCGUACGAUGCUGUCCUCCAUGUUUGCUUUCUUGUUGCUGCCCUGUUUGCCCAUGAGCGUGAUCUCCAGCUGACAGAAGGGCUUCGGCAGGAUGUCGCACUGGGUGAAGAACUUCCUCCACUCGAUGAUGUAAGCUUUGAGCAGUGCUGUGUCGUCCUGGUGGCUCAGCACCCGCUGCCAUGGGGGGGAAGCAUGUAAAGAGGUAAUGUGGUGGUGGAGCAGAAUGUUCACUUUGUCUAAGGCUGGAGUUUUAGAGUUUGUAUAGAAAUACGUGUGGUGAACAUUAAACAAACUGUCCCUCAUCCUUGAAGCUCCGGCUCUGAUUGGUAAAACCUGGACCGUUUUUUAUAAACCUCUCAGAAAUAAUCUCUUUUCAUCCCUUUGUGGUUCUAUGGUUUCAUACUAAGUGUACAAGAUACUCCUCUCCUCUCACAGUGGGCCCUCUGAUGCAUUUUCACAUCAUGAUGUUAAGAAAAACACUAAU